rnacentral:rRNA from 1 species
GACGAACGCUGGCGGCGUGCUUAACACAUGCAAGUCGUACGGUAAGGCCCUUUCGGGGGUACACGAGUGGCGAACGGGUGAGUAACACGUGAGUAACCUGCCCACAACUUUGGGAUAACGCUAGGAAACUGGUGCUAAUACUGGAUAUGUGCUCCUGCUGCAUGGUGGGGGUUGGAAAGCUCCGGCGGUUGUGGAUGGACUCGCGGCCUAUCAGCUUGUUGGUGGGGUAGUGGCCUACCAAGGCGGCGACGGGUAGCCGGCCUGAGAGGGUGACCGGCCACAUUGGGACUGAGAUACGGCCCAGACUCCUACGGGAGGCAGCAGUGGGGAAUAUUGCACAAUGGGCGCAAGCCGGAUGCAGCAACGCCGCGGGCGGGAUGACGGCCUUCGGGUUGUAAACCGCUUUCAGCAGGGACGAAGCUUUUUGUGGCGGUACCUGCAGAAGAAGCACCGGCUAACUACGUG